GUACACGCUGUGACUAGCAUAUCAAUAAGCGGAGGAAAAGAAACUAACAAGGAUUCCCUCAGUAACGGCGAGUGAAGCGGGAAGAGCUCAAAUUUGAAAUCUUGAAAGGUCACCUUUCACGAAUUGUAGUUUAAAGAAGUGUUUUCUGUUACGAUCGUAAUAUAAGUUCUUUGGAAUAGGACAUCACAGAGGGUGAGAAUCCCGUCUAUGAUUGCGAUUUGUAGCUUUGUGAUACACUUUCAAAGAGUCGGGUUGUUUGGGAAUGCAGCCCAAAACGGGAGGUAAAUUUCUUCUAAGGCUAAAUAUUGGCGAGAGACCGAUAGCGAACAAGUACCGUGAGGGAAAGAUGAAAAGAACUUUGAAAAGAGAGUUAAAUAGUACGUGAAAUUGUCAAAAGGGAAGCGUUUAACACCAGUGUUGUUUUCUGAAAAUCAACCUCUGUUAGCUUUAUGCAUGUUUGUUUAGACCUAAUCAGCUAUCUUUCAUGUUCUAUUGUUUGCAGUGGUGCACUUUUCAGUUUACAGGUCAACAUCAGUUUUUUUUACCGUAAAAAAGUUAAAGAAAGGUAGCUCAUGGCUCCGGUCGUGAGUGUUAUAGUCUUUUUCCUAUGCGGUAGGAGAGACUGAGGUCUGCAGUGUAGGCUAUUUGGCUAGAUACUCAGGUGCUAUGUGAUACCAUUUCAUAAACAACUUGUUGAUUAUGUUUUGUCUAUUGCAUACUACGCUGUGACUACAUAUCAUACCUACGCUUAGGAUGUUGAGUAGCGACAUACGCAC
rnacentral:rRNA from 1 species